rnacentral:lncRNA from 10 species
UUUUUCGGGAGUUUGUGUGUUCCAUGUGUACUCCUUGCACUCACAGCACUGAAAGUAGUAAGAAGCCACCUGGAAGUUUUCUGGAAAAAAAGCCAGUGCAGGUUUAUAAGGAAAGCAGAGGUGUGGGGCUUGGGAAAAGCUUUUAAUUAAAAAAUAUGAGUUCUAGGCCCAGGGCUGGCAGUAUCUAACUAUGUAACCUUGGGUAAGUCACCCCCUUUCACUCAACCUUACUUUCUACACCAUUAAAAUGAGGGAAUAGGAAUGCAGGGGAGUACAAAUUAUCCAACCCAUUUACUCUGCCUACAGCAGCCAGACGUUUUUUUUUCCUGGAGGCCAGGCACGGUGGCUCAUGCCUGUAAUCCCAACAUUUUGGAAUGCCAAGGCAGGAGGAUCACCUGAGGUCAGGAGUUCGAGACCAGCUUGGUCAACAUAGAAAAACCCAGUAUCUACUAAAAAUACAAAAAUUAGUCAGGCGUGGUGGUGGGCACCCUGUAAUCCCAGCCUCGGGAGGCCAAGGCAGGAGAAUUGCUUGAAGCUAGGAGGCGGAACUUGCAGUGAGCUGAGAUUAUGCCACUGCACUCCAGCCUGGCCAACAGAGUGAGACUCUGUCUCCAAAAAAAAUUAAAAUAAAAAUAAAAAAUUAAAAAAAAAAUAUUCUCUUGGGCAAGAUAGGAAGGAACAGACAGCCAAAUGGCACCCUGGCUAUCAGCCUUGUCAGAAAGUCAGGGAACAAGCUCGUAGUUGAAAGGAAUCCUGGAUUUAAGAGAUUAGCCCUCUAAGAGGGGCUGUGCAGCAAAGAGCAGAGGUGGAGAACCAUCACAGUGGUGCAGGCACUGUCCCAGGGAGGCUGCGGGCCCCAGAGUGGAUCCAAAGGACAUGCACUCCCUUUGUGUCACAACACCUUUGUCCAGAAAUUCUUCUCUUCCCUCACAAAGUCCCUAACCCCAUCAAGCUGUGUCAACCUUGACUUUUUAUUAUUUUUAAAGAGAUUCUCCAUCUUUUAAUGAGGAUAUCAAAACAAAGUUUUACUUUAGACAAGGCAUAUAUCAACUCUUAGAGCUAUGUAUAAUCAAACAUCUACUUAACAAUAUUUAAUAUUAGUUUAGUUAUAAAUACAUAUUUAAAUCACACUGCACAUAAAAUAUUAUUUAGAUAUCAUGCUUUUUUCUAUUUUAUUCAGUUAAUUAUUAUUCAAAUGACAGCCCUACUCUUGUGUUUCACAUAUAAGAACACUGAUUCUGAGAAAUAUAGAGACAGGGCCCCAAGUCCACAUGAUUAUCCUCAGGAGAUGUGGGGCUUCUGCCUCCAGAAUGAGGAAGUCACAGACACCAGAGGUGUUCCUGAGAACUUAGGAGCCUAGCAGAGCAGCUCUGAAAACGGAGGACAUUUAGUCCAUCUGUCACAAGUGCAAACACUUCUGGUCCUUGAGAGGUGUGGGAUAAAUUUUCAUGUGUACACCACCACUCUCUGAACCAGGCACUUUACAUGUGUAAAAAAUUCCCCAGGCGAAUACAAUGUACAACCAAGUUUGAGACCCAGCACCUUAGAGAGAGCAUCCCCUUCCCCUGUGGCUGAGCCUGAUAGCUGUCUCCUGUAUCAUGCAGCUGAGAAAGGCAGGCUCACCCCGCUUUAAAAAGAGACUCUAAGAAGUUAGGAAAGACUCUGAAUUCAGCUGUGAUGUAGCUCCCCUCUGGCAGAGAAAAGGGCAGAUUCCCAACAGACAGGUAGUGACCUGAUAUCCCUGUACCCGGGGAUUGGCACUGAGCUGGGAGCCAGACUCCCACAGCUCAACUGCAGGACCCAUGAGCAGGCCUAGAGUGCAGCCUGAGGUUUGGCACUACCAAGACCGCUGCUGGGACCUAGAACAUGUGCUGAGCCUAAGACUUAGUGAGGCAGCAAGGAAGUGGGGCCCACACAUGUCUGUUUCAGACAUGAACAGCAGGGCCAAGGCAACACGGACACCAGAGAGGUAGGGGAGGAGAGAAAUCCCAAAGAGGUCUCAGAAAGCUGGUAUCGGGUCAGCUUAGGCCACCAAGUGAGGACACACUCGUUGCAUAAGCCUGAGGCCAAUGCUAAGCAAUCCUCUGAGGGUUAGGAAGACUUCAUUCCACAGCUCUUGUCCAGGGCUCCAGGCAACUUGAAGCUGGGGUCCGAGCUCUGAUCCCAACAGAGCAAUAGCAUCCACUGGAGGAGCCUGAUGCUCCUCCGCUAGUUCCAACCCGUAGACCCAAAGCUGGACAGAGCUUCACUGUUCAUCCAGCCAAUUCCCCACCACACAGAUGAUGACAUGGAGGCCCUGGGACAGGGAGGAGCUUAGCUAAAAUCACAUGGCCCUUGUAUAACAUAGGUGAUACCGUGAACUACUAAGCAGUCCCUGAUUACCUCUGUAGCCACAGGUAAGAUGCUCUACCUCCCUAUGCCUCUGUCAGACACUAAGCAACGAGAAAAAACACUCUAGUUGUAUCCUCUGGCAGGCUGGACAUCCUCACCAACAGUCCUGCCCUCCCACCCCCGGGCAGCCCCAGUCUACUGAGCACCAGGAGCACCAGCUAAGGCCCCCACCACACAGCCCCUGAAGGCUUCCUCCAACCCACCACUCAGAGCAGCACCACCUUCAAGAAACAUGUUGCACCCAAUCCCCAAAUACCCAGACCCUGCUAGAAAGACAAAUUUUUGUCCAAGUCACCCCUAAAGUGACUGCUGCUUCUGCCCCAGCUGCCAGCAGGCUUAUCUGUGGCCCUGCUGCCGUGAUUAGGGCAACACUGGGAGAGAAGUCAGAGAAGCGACAGGUGAGACCACCACAGGUCCCAGAGGAUGGCGCUUACCAAGCGCCCAGGAACACCCACCCUGCAUGCUGCAGCCAGGCGGGCUGCAAGGCCUAAGCCUCGGGGAAUGGAUACUGGAUAGGGUAAGGGGAGCAGCCUGGAUCCUCUCCUCCUUUCUCUGAUGCAUCCUCAGCCAGGGCUGCAUUUCUCUAGCUCACCUGAGAUACUCCUGCAAGAAAGAGCUUGGUUGACUCCUCCUGUUUCUGUUUAUCUCGAAGGCUCUGCAGCAAUUUUCCCAAACUGAACAGCAAGAGGGAGACCUCAAAGAGGCGACUCUCUUCCUAGCUGCAUCUCCUUCCUAAUCCUCUGGGUGCCUUGGAAUAGAAGCUCAGAAGGAAGAAAACGACAUUUUCAACUUUCAGGAACUAGCUCUGUCGCCCUCUGCACAGCUCGGGAGACAGCACUCUCAGCCUUUUAGGACUCCAUCCAAAAAUCCUUCAGCCCUCCAUGUUCCCCAAAAUGACAGUGCUCAUGUGUGGCUGGAACCUGCCCCGAUCCGGCAGCUCAUUUAAAUAGAGCUCAUCACAACAACAGUGUUGGUGGUGAAGUGAGUAGCUGCAGGACCCUGGGGACCCCCUGUUUAUACGUAGGAAGAAUGAUGCAAUCUGGGUAUCAAAAUAGCAAUCCAGAAUGGAAUAACAGGCUCACGCAGCAGCGGUGCCUGCACAGCCAGAGCUCAAGUUGACACACUCUGUCAGCCCCACACUGCUGCAGCACGCAGAUGCCAGGCACACACUCUCACCGCAUCAUUUUAAAAAACAGCAGGAGCCCAAGAUAUCCCUCCAUGCCCCCGGCACUGAAGGAGGGUGUGGGGGGGCCUUCAACAGACAUUGAAAUCUGUCUCCUACAUACUCACCUGCUCCUGCCACUUCACCUGAAGUCCUUAUCCUGUGACGUCACAGUCAGUUGCCAUAGUGACCAAUUGUCCGUCACAAGCAGAGGAUUAGGACUUCGGAUGGAGAAGACACACAUUUACGAUGCACAAAGGUCCUGGGAGGUCUCCCUUGGCAGUUAACUCUACCCACCAGGAAGAUCCAGUCACACACAAGCAGGGAGGGAAAAAGGGAAGAAUGAACAGGGUUGACUGGAGGAGACAUUAGGAUGGGGCAAGACUACAAGUACAGCAUAAUUUCAAAAGCACAGAGCAACCAGAUGAGGGGGAGUGGCAGGGAUGUGCUUGGAAAGACCGGAAGGAGAGUAAGCUCCUGAAGGGACCUGAAUGCUAAGCUCAGGAGCUUGACCUUCAUCCUAAAAUAAAAGGCAGCCCAAAAAGUUUCUGGAGAGUGACUGAGCUGGGCUUUAUGAUUAUCUUGAUGGACUGAACACAGGGAGGUCAGGGUAGUUGAGCAUUAAUGGGACCCUAAAUAAGGGUAAAAAUGGAAAAAAGCAAAAGAAGACUCAUUUCAAAGAGAACUGACAGGACACAAGCAAAUUAGGAUGUUGGGGCUAGUGGUGGUGUGUGAAGAACAAGGAAUCAAGUGGAGGGGCUGUCAUGAACAGAGGUAGGUAACAGGAGGAAGAGAGCAGUGGCCAAAUCUCAUGUUAUCUAUACCUUCCUUUCUCUGGCAUCCUUGCCCUCUUAAUAUCAGGCCUCAUUCUGCCUUGCCUGGACCAGUGAUGCCCCAAUCUGGAGAGCUUGUUAGAAAUCCUGAAUCUACCAAACCCAAAUCUCUUGUGUGUGGGUGUGGGACUGGGAAUCUGUAUUUUUAGCAAGCAUCACAAACAAUUCUUAGGCAUUCAGACCAGCACUGGUUCAAGGCCCAGCAAUCAGGAACCAAUGGCCUGGACAGCUGCGGUUGUCCAGCAGGUCUUCCUGUAUCCAGUCCUGUCUCCUCCAAUCAUUCUUCUCACUGGGCCAACUGAAUUUGUUUUUUUCUUGUUUGUUUGUCUUUGUUUGUUUUGAGACAGUGUUUCAUUCUGUCACCCAGGCUGGAGUGUGGUGGCAUGAUCAUGGCUCACUGCAGCCUCAACCUCCUGGGCUCAAGUGAUCCUCCUGCCUCGGCCUCCCAAGCAGCUGGGACUACAGGCGUGCAACCAGCUAAUUUAUUUUUUAUUUUCUAUUUUUUGUAGAGACAGGGCCUUACUAUGUUGCCCAGGCUGGUGUUGAACUCCUGACCUCAGGAUAUGUGACCAUAUUCCACUGAUCAAAAACCUUCAAUGGCUCCCCACUGUCCACAGAAUAGCUUAAUCAAGAUCCUUCACAAUUUGGCCCUAAAUUUCCUUUCUGAACAGAAUCCCCACUUCUCUCCUUCAAGCAUCCCAUACUCCAGCCAAAAUUAACUCCCUCCUGUUUCUAAUAUUUGCCUUCCCCUCCCCUGCGUGUGCCUCAUCCUAACACUAUUCCCUACCUGGGAGUCCCUUGCACAUUUUUCUGACUCUGCCUGGUUCCUCUACAGCUAUUCCUACUUGGUGUCACCUACAGAUUCAAACCACCCAAUUUCCCCAGACAGAACCUAAAACAGGGGUCAGAAAACCACAGACUGCCUGUUCUUGUAAAUAAAGAAUACAGUAAUGCCCAUUCAUUUCCAUAUUGUCUAUGGCUGCCUUCUGCUUUUCUGCUACAAUGGUAGAGCUAAGUAGUUGUAACAGAGACUGUAUGACCCACAAAGCCUAAAAUAUUUACUAUCUAGCCUUGUGCAGAAAGUUUAUGACAUCUGGCCUAAAGCAACAGCUCCUUAAAUUGUGCUAGCCUCACCCUUUGGAGUUUAAUUCUGAUUACGGGGAUUUUGCUUGUUCCAAGCCCACGUCCAUCUUUGUGAACUCUAAUUCUGAUAACUGGGUCACAUCUGAGCUGGACCUUCAAGUUUGUGUAGGAUGUUUCAAGCAAGAAAAGGCAUUUCAGGAGGAAAGAACAUCAUAAAUGGAGAAUUAUAGAUAUGAAAGUGUGAGGUCUCUUUGGAAAGUCUUGUAAGGCUACAACAUAUAGAGAAAUGACAGGAGGUGAGGCUACAGCAUUAGUUUGGGACCAGAUUAUGAAAAGACUUGGAGGCCAUGCUAAGUGUCUGUUCUAAACUGCAAGCAAUUGGAAGCCUUUAGAGAGCUAGAAGUGUAGUCCCGGAGUCAGAGGGAGUGAUCAGGGUCAAAGCUAGAGGAUUUGGAAGCAUAAUCACAGUAGCAAUAAGUGAAGUGACGUCAGGAAAAAUAUCACUGUAGGAAAGAAUAGGGAAUAAACUGAGGUCAGGCAGAUAUCCAGGGCCUGUGAGGAAGAGCCAGACAGCCGGCCUGAGCCAAGAGUCAGAAUCUGGCUAUGAAAGCCAGGUGACUGGCUGGGGCUGGAGAUGGAUGCACGAUCCACAGCCUUCAGAGCCCAUGCUCCUAGGAACCACCUGGCUGUGAAACAGGCUUUCUGUGCCAAGAAAGUACCCACAGUAUAAUGCAAAAAGUACAGGUAGGAUGAGUCUGGGCUCAUUUCAUCUGACAGACCCUCACUGACCGAGGUAGCACCUCUGUCUCUUUUCAUCCCAAAUCUUAAAGUCAAUCCAAAAACUGAUGCACUGACACACUCCAUGCAAAACCACUGAUCCCUUUUCCAGCUGGGCCUGGAGACAGAGAGUCAUUUGGGGAACCAAGGGCAGCAUCCUAUUCUGGGUCUGUAGUUUCUACUGGCCCUCAAGCCCAGGAAAGCCCUGGACUGUCAGGCAAAGGAGCUGGAUUUUUUUCCUGGCUCUGCAAGUGACCGAUUAUGUGGUUUUCAGCAGGAUCCUAGCCCUUCCUGGACUCCUGAUGCUUCAUCUAUGCAGGAGGGAUUGGAGAUUAAGGGCCUUCCCUGCCUUUUGGCCUCCACAGCACUCAACCCUAACCACUCCCCCUUAAAUCAGAAAGUUCCAGCAGACAAGAGGCCCCUCAAAGAUCCCAUCCAUCAAUCACAGCCAUCUCGAGCUCCCUCCCUCAGCAAAUCUGUUCUAGCUAUAGCCUUCCAAGCAGCACUGGCAGCAGCAAGCACCUCCCCCAAAACACAGCCUGCCUCCUUUCCAUUACCGGGGGAAUUGCUCUCCCAGUAAUGGGUCCUGUUCUGGGGUGCCAGUGCUAUUCCCAGGGCCCUAGAGAGCCAAUUAAGGCGAGGAAACUGUUCGUGAACUAAAAAGCCACUCCACUGACAGGGCUCCAGGCUCCAGCUUCUGCACCUGCUGCACACCCAGCUCACCAGCCUGCCCUUCACCUGGGAGACUUGAGUUACUGCCCACAACAGACCCCACAAGGCUGGACACACUGCAGCACCUGGAAUGAGCAAAGAGUAGUCACCCACCUCCCAGGCUCCUACAGCUGAGAUCUCACCUCUGGCCUCCCAUUCCCACCCAAGACCAUUAGAACCCCUGCAGCUGAGCUGCUCAUUAAGAUAAGUGUCAUUUCCCUCUCUGAUUCUAAGGUUGUAGCAUCUUGCAUCAGUUCCCCCUCUUUGGAUAUUCCUAAAGUCCCAAGGCCUGCCCACCGAGGGACCGUGAUUGCUCCUCCUUUCAGCAUUAGUAGUGUUCGGGGAUGCUGUCACUCUUCACUAGCUUCAAGAAGCAUCGGGCUAUGGUAGUUAUUUGGUGUUCUUAAAUCUCAUUAAGUCUAGCCCUGAAAGCCAGAAAGGGCUUAGAAUUGCCCAGUCAAUUAGUGCUAGUGUCCAGGUGAGCUCUAGGGUCUGUGACUUCCAGCUACAUCCUCAACUUUGAAAAUGGGAAAAAUAAGAUACUAAACAAGUAGAUUCUGAAAUCUGUAUCUAAGUAUCAAAGUCUUCCAGCCAUGAUUUGUCUUUUAAUUGAUUUGAAGAGAAACAAUAAGUAAUGUUCCUUUUCCUCACAUGGGGAAGGAAAUAUCCAAUCAAUUCCCUCUUCCCUUUCCUAAAAUGACAAAUAAAACCACAGCAACUCUGAGAACCUUGAAGACAGAGCCAGCAUAUGGUAAGAGUCAGUUUCAGGGAUGUUAGCUCCCUUCAGAGCUUGCUACAUUUACUUAAAGUAUAAUUUUGGUACUCAGUGGCCAACUUUCCAGACAGAAUUUGACCUGGGACCAUUCUUAAUUAGCCAAAAAAGCAAAUAGCCCCAAGUAGAUAUUCUCAUUGGCUGAGAAAAUCCAAUUCCAAUAGCUAGCAUUUGUGUACCCAGCCAUCCCACUGCAUGGCUAGGCCACUGUAUUCUCACCACACUCCUACCUUUGCUCUGGUCCCCAUCAUUAGCUUUUGAAGAUCUUGCCCAGCUGGUCUCCUCAGUACCUGAGAGGUGACGCAGACCCAUCUUCCUAGUUGCUGGGGAGAAUCUCAGCUAGGCUGUGGCUGUAUUAAUUAAAGAUUUGCACUUGAUCCAGCAAUUCAAAUACUGAGUAUACAAUAGUCCCCCCCUUAUUCAUGGGGGCUACUUUCCAAGAUGCCUGAAACAGUGGAUAGUACCAAACCCUAUAUAUACUAUAUUUUUCCUAUGCAUACAUACCUAUGAUAAAGUUUAAUUUGUAAAUUAGGCACAGUAGGAGAUUAACAAUAACUAAUAAUAAAAUAGAACAACUAUAAGAAUAUACUGUAAUAAAAGCAACAUGAAUGCAGCCUCUACUGUCUCGCUCUCUCUCUCUUCCCCCUGCCCCCCCACAAAAUCUCUUAAUAUUUUCAGGCUGUGAGUAACUAAAAACUUGAAAAGCAAAACCUUGGAUGCGGGGGGAGGGGACUACUGUAUUUCCAAAGAAAAUGAAAUCAGCAUGUCAGAGACAUACCUGCACUCCCAUGUUCAUUGCUGUAUUAUUCACAAUAGCCAGGACAGGGAAUCAACCUAAGUGUCUACUGAUGAAUGGAUAAAGAAAAUGUGAUAUAUAUACACAAUACUAUUCAACCAUUAAAAAAAAGGAAAACCUGUCAUUUGUGACAACAUGGUUGUACUUACAGCACAUUGUAAGUGAAAUAAGCCAGGUACGGAAAGACAAAUACUGUAUAAGCUCACUCACGUAGAAUCUAAAAAAACUGAUCUCAUAAAAGCGGAGAGUAAAAGAGCAGCUACCAGGGGCUAGAGUGGUUGGCAGGGGGCAAGGGUAGUUAGGGAGAUGUUGGUGAAAGAAUACAAAAUCCAAGUUAGAUAGCAGGAGUCAGUUCAAGAGAUCCAUUGUACAGCAUGAUAAGUAUGGUUAAUAAUAUAUUGUAUUCUUGAAAGAUGCCAAGAGAGUAGAUGUAAAGUGUUCUCACCACCAAAAUGAUAACUAUGUGAGGUGUUGUAUAUGUUAACUGGCUAGAUUUAGUCAUUCUGCAACGUAUCUAUACUUCAAAACAUCAUGUUGUACACUGUAAAUACAUACAGUUUUACAUGUCAGUUAAAAAUUUUUUUAAUUAAAAAAUAUUUAUAUUUGCUGGCUCAGGCUGCAGGAUUUGUUCUUUCUUCAAAGAUUUUCCAUGGACUCUCCUCAUCAGUUUGGUAUUCUAAGUGAGCGUGGACUCUCCCCGUGAGCAAAGUGCCACAAUGUCGAUCGCAAGCUUUGAAGACAGGUGAACCUGAAUUUGACCUUACCGGGCAGUAGUUGUUAACCUUAGUCUAUAAAUAUCCCAAUCCUCAUAUUUUUCAUCUAUAAAAUGGGAAUACUAAUACCUACUUUAUAAGGCUGCUGUGAAGUUUACAAAAGAUAAUGCCUGUACAGUGUCUGCCAACCAGUAAGUGCUUGAUAAAUGCAUUUUGUAACUCCCACUUGAAGAACAAAAAGGGACAGAUCACAAGUGAAAAAAGCCUUCUACCCAGGCUUUAUUGAUUAAGUCAUUUAUUCUAUAAAUAUUCACUUAAGACCUCCUCUCCUGUAUCAUGUUCUGUGUUGGGCUGCGGGGUUACAAACAUGAAAGGCACCGUCUGGUUGAAUGAGAAGAUGCCUACCUCAUGACAUCCCCUCAGUUCCAAGCCCCAGAGCAGGAGUACAGCCCUGGGGAGGCUCUGUUGAAGAAUUAGAGUUGAAAACAAGCUGGACAGACCCUGAGCCCAGGCACAGCCCCUCUUCCAUUCAACACAGCAACUGCUCGGCUCUGCCCAGCAAGUAGGAGAAACAGGUUUAUAGAAAUGAACUCAGCCCCAUGUAGCGUGGCUCCAUCUGGUUGGAGGCAUUGAAGCUAGGAACUUGUUUAUUCCUCAGCCUCUAUCCGCCUCCCCUGCCAUCCCUCUACCGGCUCCCACAUUUUACUUUAAAAAAAAAAAAACAGAUUUCUGCCCAGAUUCACAGAAAGAGGAUAAACGUUCCAGAAAGCCUGUGUUCCUACUCUGCUGGACAAACUGACUGCACUAAAAACUCUCUCCAAACAUGGCUUCUCAAACUACAGACCAGAAAUCUAAGUUCAGGUAUUAGGUAUUUCACUAGGCUAGCCAGAGACAGGUGACAGCUCUGCCUUUCAUCAGACAGCUGAUUUGGGAGCCAUUCUUUUGACCCUUCAGAAAAUAUUCAGUGGGCAACUGAUAUCUGCCAGUCCUAGUACGUGGACAACUUACCUGAGUUAUUGAUCCUUUGCUUGAACUUUAAACAAUCUUCUCUUCACUGUAUUAUUAUCACCUGUUUAUUUGGCUGUCAUUCAUUAGACUAUGAGCUCUUUGAAGUCAAGGGCUCUGUCUUUUCAUCUCUGUACCCUAAAUGCCAUACAGCCUGGUACACAGUAGUCAAUAAAUAUCCAUGGGGGAGAGACAGACACACAAACCAACAAAUACCACACCACAUAGGGUCCUAAUAGUUCCAAGUAAUAAAGAGGAAGUUAAGCCAGGCACGAUGGCAUAUUCCAAGCAGCAAACUUAGACAUUGCAGAUCUCCUGAGGUCCAGCCUUUGAAGUUACACAGUAACAUUUCUGCCACAUUCCAGUGGUUAAAGUAAGUCAUAGAACAAUACAGAUUCAAAGGAAACAAAUAGACUUCACCUCUUGGUGGGAUGGGUGGCAGAAAAGAAUUGUGGCCAUCUUUAAAUCCCCAUAGUGAUGAAGGGCACCAUCAUCAAAGCUGACAAAAGGUGCCACCACUGCUGCAGAGGCCCAAUAUCAUUUGGUCCAAAGCAUAGACUGCCUUAUGUUGAUGCAUUGAGACUGCCAUCUCCUAUUGCUGCUAAUACCAACAGUGCUAUUUACCAUUACUGAAGAAUUACGGUAAAGUCACAGGCACCAUCCUUCAUACUGUCAAUACUGCUGAAAUCAAUGGUAAUACCUUGCAUCCUCAUUGUCCAACAUGAUUUUAAUAAAACUCCUUUAGGGCCAGGUGCAGUGGCUCACGCCUGUAAUCCCAGCACUUUGGGAGGCCGAGGCAGGCAGGUCACUUGAGGUCAGGAGUUCAAAACCAGCCUGGCCAACAUGGCGAAACCCUGUCUCUACUAAAAAUACAAAAAUUAGCUGGGUGUGGUGGCACAUGCUGUAGUCCCAGGUAUUUGGG